UUGCCAAUUGGCCUGAUAGCGCUUUUUGAAUGACUUGUGAUGGAGGCAUGAAUUUGGGAAGGACAACAGUUCAUUCUAUCAAGGGUCAAUAAACCGAAAUGCUGUUCAUGAAGCCCCGCCUCAUGGAACCUCCCCAGAGUGUGUUAUUUAAGGGCAGAAGCAAAUCUACAGCCUAGCAUCGCUGGGAGAAUAUCAUAUCUCGCAGUUACGCCAUCGCAUAUGCCCUACUAUUUACGGCUUCGGACGUUCUAGAUAUCACUUCCCAUGCAUUAAAUGCCCUACAGCAGACACACCGCCAAAUCAAGCAAGCUCUUUGUACAGUUUAUCUGAGUGUCAAAAGGUUCCUGCAAACGUCCACUUGACAGCCGAAAAGACCGUUUUUCCCUGCUUCUGCUUCAUUAGAGCCAACAUGGGAUCAAUGUUCCUUGGGGGCAUCGUACCCACCAAGCUGUCAACUUCCUCGUGGAGUCAAUCCUUGAAAAUAUCAUGUUCCAUAGGCUAGAGAGCAUAAAUAAAUGUUUCCAGUUGUUCUUAGAACAUAUAAAGACCUGGGGAGAACGGGCUGUGAGCAUGGAGAGCGAAGCAAGACGAGGCAUCCUAAUUCAUAUUAAUGUACUGUACAUUGCCGGUCUCCUGCUAAAUGGGAGCCUCGAGAAUUUGAAUUGCAAUAUCUACCAAAAGAUAGCCAGAAAAAUAGCG
rnacentral:sRNA from 1 species